CUACGGCGCUCCAGUGGGGAAUAUUGCACAAUGGGGGAAACCCUGAUGCAGCAACGCCGCGUGGAGGAUGACACAUUUCGGUGCGUAAACUCCUUUUAUAGGUCAAGAUAAUGACGGUAGCCUAUGAAUAAGCUCCGGCUAACUCCGUGCCAGCAGCCGCGGUAAUACGGAGGGCGCAAGCGUUACUCGGAAUCACUGGGCGUAAAGAGCAUGUAGGCGGGUUAAUAAGUCAGAAGUGAAAUCCAAUAGCUCAACUAUUGAACUGCUUUUGAAACUGUUAACCUAGAGUGUGGGAGAGGUAGAUGGAAUUUCUGGUGUAGGGGUAAAAUCCGUAGAGAUCAGAAGGAAUACCGAUUGCGAAGGCGAUCUACUGGAACAUUACUGACGCUGAGAUGCGAAAGCGUGGGGAGCAAACAGGAUUAGAUACCCGGGUAGUC
rnacentral:rRNA from 1 species